rnacentral:lncRNA from 1 species
GUAAUACAGGAAGGCAUGCUUGCAACCUCUGGAUUCAAUCAGAAACAAUGCCUGAGAGUACAGAGCCUUCUCAAUAGGUAACGGCGGGUUCCUUUUAACGCUUCCUUAAACAAGAUCCGAUGUGAUGCACAUUAGAACUUUGAAGCACGUCUGUCUCAUUUAUUUCUACAAGGCCUGGGACACAGGAAGCUGCCAGGACUUCAUUCAUCAUCAUCUUGCCUGUUGACAAAAGGAACAAUAACUGGUCAUCACU